rnacentral:rRNA from 1 species
UACGAAGGGGGCUAGCGUUGCUCGGAAUCACUGGGCGUAAGGUGCGUAGGCGGGUUUUUAAGUCAGAGGUGAAAUCCUGGAGCUCAACUCCAGAACUGCCUUUGAUACUGAAAGUCUUGAGUAUGGGAGAGGUGAGUGGAACUGCGAGUGUAGAGGUGAAAUUCGUAGAUAUUCGCAAGAACACCAGUGGCGAAGGCGGCUCACUGGCCCAUAACUGACGCUGAGGUGCGAAAGCGUGGGGAGCAAACAGG